UGCCCAGCAACUCCUAUCCCUACCUCCACGCGGUACCGGCCGGAACUAUGAGCAACCUUAGGGAAGAUCGGGUAACCAACCCCGGUGGGAACUUUGGUCGUAGGCUGACAAGGAAGG
rfam:Aedes albopictus isolate Foshan contig64879, whole genome shotgun sequence.